AUCAAGCUUAUGAAUAUGUAAAAUGGUUUACAAAAUGAUGGCACAUUAAAGUUGAGGUUCUCAGCAACUUAAACCAGCACUGAAAUGUGACCAGUGAGGUUAAUUUGUUCCCCACUCUCUGCUCUUUUCCUCAGGUUGAAGAACAUCCCCAACACCCAGACUGACCUAAAGAACUUGGGAACCUCCCAGACACCAGGAGAAUCAUCUUGUUCUUGGUGUUUAUUCACAAGGUUUGUCAUGAUUUCCAGGAGCCUAGUGGAGUUGGAUACAACAUACUCCAAGGCAGGACAUUUCCCUGCAUCCAGGUUAAGGUCUGCUACCAGCAGGAACAUGGAGCACUCCAUGUCAGUAAUCAUAUACACUACCGUUCAAAAGUUUGGGGUCACUUAGAAAUGUCCUUGUUUUUGAAAGAGAAGCAAUUUUUUUCUCUAUUAAAACAACAUCAAAUUGAUCAGAAAUACAGUGUAGACAUUGUUAAUGUUGUAAAUGACUUGUAGCUGGCAGAUUAUUUUAUGGAAUAUCUACAUAGGCGUACAGAGACCCAUUAUCAGCAACCAUCACUCCUGUGUUCCAAUGGCACUUUGUGUUAGCUAAUCCAAGUUUUUCAUUUUAAAAGGCUAAUUAAUCAUUAGAAAACCCUUUUGCCAUUAUGUUAGCACAGCUGAAAACUGUUGUCCUGAUUUAAAGAAGCAAUAAAAUUCGCCUUCUUUAGACUAGUUGAGUAUCUGGAGCAUUAGCAUUUGUGGGUUCAAUUACAGGCACAAAAUGGCCAGAAACAAAGACCUUUUUUAUGAAACUCGUCAGUCUAUUCUUGUUCUGAGAAAUUAAGGGUAUUCCAAUAGAGAAAUUGCCAAGAAACUGAAGAUCUCGUACAACGCUGUGUACUACUCCCUUCACAGAACAGCAAAAACUGUCUCUAACCAGAAUAGAAAGAGGAGUGGGAGGCCCCGGUGCACAACUGAUCAAGAGGAAAAGUACAUUAGAGUGUCUAGUUUGAGAAACAGACGCCUCACAAGUUCUCAACUGGCAGCUUCAUUAAAUAGUACCUGCAAAACACCAGUCUCAACGUGAAGAGGCGACUCCUGGAUGCAGGCCUUCUAGGCAGAGUUGCAACGAAAAACCAUAUCUCAGACUGGCCAAUAAAAGAUUAAGAUGGGCAAAAGAACAUAGACACUGGACAGAGGAACUAUGCCUAGAAGGCCAGUGCCCAUCACUAUGCUAAGGAUCCUGGGACUGAACACCUCCCUCUGCAACUGGAUGGUGCCAGGACAACAACCUCUCCCCCAAUGUGGGCAAGACAAAGGUGGCUGAAGAUACCCCCCGUUCACAUCGACCGGGCUAUAGUGGAGCAGGUUGAGAGCUUCAAGUUCCUCUGUGUCCACAUCACUGAGGAUGUAUCAUGGUCCAAACACACCAACACAGUUGUAAACAGGGCAUGACAACGCCUCUUCCCCCUCA
rnacentral:lncRNA from 1 species